UGGGGAAUAUUGCACAAUGGGCGCAAGCCUGAUGCAGCCAUGCCGCGUGUAUGAAGAAGGCCUUCGGGUUGUAAAGUACUUUCAGUCGGGAGGAAGGCGUUAAGGUUAAUAACCUUGGCGAUUGACGUUACCCGCAGAAGAAGCACCGGCUAACUCCGUGCCAGCAGCCGCGGUAAUACGGAGGGUGCAAGCGUUAAUCGGAAUUACUGGGCGUAAAGCGCACGCAGGCGGUCUGUCAAGUCGGAUGUGAAAUCCCCGGGCUCAACCUGGGAACUGCAUUCGAAACUGGCAGGCUAGAGUCUUGUAGAGGGGGGUAGAAUUCCAGGUGUAGCGGUGAAAUGCGUAGAGAUCUGGAGGAAUACCGGUGGCGAAGGCGGCCCCCUGGACAAAGACUGACGCUCAGGUGCGAAAGCGUGGGGAGCAAACAGG
rnacentral:rRNA from 1 species